GGGGUGCCACUGUGAGGUCCAAUGAAGAAGAAUGCAAGAACUUACUUUUCUGCAAAAUUCUAGAUGUUGAAACUCUAAGAUUUAUUGUAUGUGAUACAAAACAUAAAUUGUAUGAAAAGUAAAAUAUUUAAUCUAUAUGAUUAAAAUUAUUUUAAUCAUAAAAAUAAAAUUUAAAAUUAUAAAAUAUUUAGAUAUGAUCUAAAGUUUGUUAUGAUUGAUUUUAUUUUAAUUUAUGCGAGAAUUUUCAGAUCUGAAACUAUGUGAU
rnacentral:lncRNA from 1 species